rnacentral:rRNA from 1 species
CCAGAUGGACCUGCGUUGUAUUAGCUAGUUGGUGGGGUAACGGCUCACCAAGGCGACGAUACAUAGCCGACCUGAGAGGGUGAUCGGCCACACUGGGACUGAGACACGGCCCAGACUCCUACGGGAGGCAGCAGUAGGGAAUCUUCGGCAAUGGACGGAAGUCUGACCGAGCAACGCCGCGUGAGUGAAGAAGGUUUUCGGAUCGUAAAGCUCUGUUGUAAGAGGAGAACGAGUGUGAGAGUGGAAAGUUCACACUGUGACGGUAUCUUACCAGAAAGGGACGGCUAACUACGUGCCAGCAGCCGCGGUAAUACGUAGGUCCCGAGCGUUGUCCGGAUUUAUUGGGCGUAAAGCGAGCGCAGGCGGUUAGAUAAGUCUGAAGUUAAAGGCUGUGGCUUAACCAUAGUACGCUUUGGAAACUGUUUAACUUGAGUGCAAGAGGGGAGAGUGGAAUUCCAUGUGUAGCGGUGAAAUGCGUAGAUAUAUGGAGGAACACCGGUGGCGANAAGCGGCUCUCUGGCUUGUAACUGA